rnacentral:lncRNA from 1 species
CACCAUCAUGCAGAAGUUGUUAUUCGGAAAGAAUCUCAGGAUCCCAAAGAAAGGAAGCUGCCCAUUGGGUGAUCUGCAACCCCACUUUUGAAAUCUGGAGCCAUGUCUUCAACUACCACAACAGACAGUCCCCAAAAGUGACGUCAAGAAUGGAGAAUACCUGGCAGCCAGAACAAGAUCCUUCAUUGACACAGGGCCCUCCCCUUGCUAAACGAGGCCUGGCUUACCACUUCUUGGGGACUGGCUUGGUUAUCAAACAUAUGGAGCACAAUAAUGACACAUAGGGACUAACUCCUGACUUGAGGAUGGAUGAGAUUUCAUUUUCAACUUCCGAAGCAGAACUGAACCAAGACAAUAAAGUAAGUUUGACAUGUAUAUUGCCAGUCUGUUUAUGAAUCCCAGUUUUAUCACAACACAAAUAGAUAAAUAAUAGAAGACCAUAAUGCUUGUCUCUGGAAUA